rnacentral:rRNA from 1 species
GACGAACGCUGGCGGCGUGGAUUAGGCAUGCAAGUCGAACGGUAUCAUCCUUUCGGGGGUGAGAGAGUGGCGAACUGGUGAGUAACACGUAGGUUAUCUACCCUCAAGACGGGGACAACCCAGGGAAACUUGGGCUAAUACCGGAUGUGAGCAACUUUUAGUUGUUUGAAAGGUGGCGUAAGCUGUCGCUUGGGGAUGAGCCUGCGUCCUAUUAGUUAGUUGGUGAGGUAACGGCUCACCUAGGCAAUGAUAGGUAGGCGGCCUUAACGGGUGGUCGCCCACACUGGGAUUGAGAUACGGCCCAGACUCCUACGGGAGGCAGCAGUCGAGAAUAGUCUACAAUGGUCGGAAGACUGAUAGUGCGACGCCGCGUGAACGAUGAAUCCCUUCGGGGUGUAAAGUUCUUUUAUAUGUGAGCAGUGCUUCUUAUAUUAACAGUAUGGGGAGAGAGAUAUUAGCAUAUGAAUAAGCAACGGCUAAACUCCGUGCCAGCAGCCGCGGUAAAAUACCG